CCUCUCAACGUUUUAAUGGCUGAGUUUUCCCCACCCAAAUAUGAAUAAUAAUAACAACAAAGAGGAGCAGGCAGGAGGGGGCAGAUGUGGUGUGUUUUGACAGCAGUUUCAGACUUGAAGGAGGCUGAGAGGCCAGCGAGUAAGAGAAAACACAGUCAAAGGGAAGAACAGCGUCAGCAAAAAAAGAAAAUAAAGACUAAAAAUGCAACCAGGCUUACAGAAAAGCUCCACAGCAGUCAGUUGCUUCUGGCGAAGGAGACAGGAAGUAGGGAACUGUACCAUCGCCAAGUAGUUUGAAAAGAAAAAACCUGCAUUAAUAGGGUGGGAUUUUAUUUAAAAAAAAAUUGUUUCGCUCAAAAGGGCAUUGGGUACUGCAAUCCAAGUCUUAGAAGGAUGUAGGCUGCACACAUAGAAAUGUCUCCUAAAUGAAACCACACCAAAAAGAACCUUUCAGCAGUGUCACAAAAGCAUUUGUAUAGAAUGCAAUUGACCACCAGGAAGAGAGGAGGAGGAUGCAACUGAACCCAACAUAGGUGACUAUGCAGCGAUGUUACAGGACGGAGAUACACUUGUGAAAUAUUCACGAGCUGAUGUCUUUGCAGCCCCGUGGGACCUGUGAAGAGCUCUUUUUUCCCCCACAUCUCUCUCUCAGACUUUAAAUAAUGAGCAGCAGAAAAGACUAACAGUCAUUGCAACACAGAUGGCUGUAAAUCAAAUCAAGUUGAAAUGUAAGUCUGACUCAUCUCUGUACAAUAUAUGAUUUGUUUGCAUUACAUUAUCUUGGAA